GAUCUUCUUUGCUCACUCCUUCAGCUGGUGCUGCUGCCCCAUGUCCUGGUGCUAGAGAUGUUUAGUGGGGGUGAUGCUGCUGCCCUGGAGCGCCGGGCCACCUUUGAACGCUACCAAUGCCAUGAGGAGGGUCUGGUGCCCAGCAAGACUUCUCCCUCUGAGGCCUGCGCGCCCCUCCUCAUCAGCCUGUCCACCCUUAUCUACAAUGGUGCCCUGCGUGAGUGUCUGUGAUGUGGGUUGAUGGGGCAGAGGUGGGGACCCAGCCUGACUUGGCCCAACCCUCCUCCCCACAGCAUGUCAGUGCAACCCUCAAGGUUCACUGAGUUCUGAGUGCAACCCUCAUGGUGGUCAGUGCCUGUGCAAGCCUGGAGUGGUUGGGCGCUGCUGUGACCUCUGUGCCUCUGGCUACUAUGGCUUUGGCCCCACAGGCUGUCAAGCCUGCCAGUGCAGCCAUGAGGGGGCACUCAGCAGUCUCUGUGAAAAGACCAGUGGGCAAUGUCCCUGUCGAACUGGUGCCUUUGGGCUUCGCUGUGACCGCUGCCAGCGUGGCCAGUGGGGAUUCCCUAGCUGCCGGCCAUGUGUCUGCAAUGGGCAUGCAGAUGAGUGCAACACCCACACAGGCGCUUGCCUGGGCU
rnacentral:sRNA from 1 species